rnacentral:rRNA from 1 species
GGUAGGGGUUCUUAGUGGAAGAUCCCCCACACUGGCACUGAGAUACGGGCCAGACUCCUACGGGAGGCAGCAGUAGGGAAUAUUGGUCAAUGGGCGCAAGCCUGAACCAGCCAUGCCGCGUGCAGGAUGAAGGCUCUCUGAGUUGUAAACUGCUUUUGUACAGGAACAAAAAAGUCCCUGCGGGGAUUCUUGAGUGUACUGUAAGAAUAAGCACCGGCUAAUUCCGUGCCAGCAGCCGCGGUAAUACGGAAGGUGCAAGCGUUAUCCGGUUUUAUUGGGUUUAAAGGGUGCGUAGGCGGCUUAUUAAGUCAGUUGUGAAAUCCUAGUGCUUAACGCUAGAACUGCGAUUGAUACUGGUAGGAUUGAGUCAAGAAGAGGUAAGUAGAAUUUAUGGUGUAGUAGUGAAAUGCUUAGAUAUCAUAAGGAAUACCAAUAGCGUAGGCAGCUUACUGGUCUUGAACUGACGCUGAGGCACGAAAGCGUGGGGAGCAAACAGGAUUAGAUACCCUGGUAGUCCACGCCGUAAACGAUGAUUACUAGAUAUGUACAACGUAGUUGUACGUGUCCAAGCGAAAGCGUUAAGUAAUCCACCUGGGGAGUAUACUCGCAAGGGUGAAACUCAAAGGAAUUGACGGGGGUCCGCACAAGCGGUGGAGUAUGUUGUUUAAUUCGAUAAUACGCGAGGAACCUUACCUGGGCUAGAAUGUAUUUUGCAACCUUGAGAAAUUGAGGGUUCCUUCGGGACGGAAUACAAGGUGCUGCAUGGCUGUCGUCAGCUCGUGCCGUGAGGUGUUGGGUUAAGUCCUAUAACGAGCGCAACCCUUUUACUUAAUUGCCAGCACGUAAUGGUGGGGACUUUAAGUAGACUGCCCGUGCAAGCGGGAGGAAGGAGAGGACGAGGUCAAGUCAUCAUGGCCUUUAUGCCCAGGGCUACAAAUGUACUACAAUGGCAUGUACAGAGGGAUGCUACUUGGUAACAAGAUGCAAAUCUCAAAAGCAUGUCUCAGUUCGGAUUGGGGUCUGCAACUCGACCCCAUGAAGUUGGAAUCGCUAGUAAUCGCGUAUCAGCAAUGACGCGGUGAAUACGUUCUCGGACCUUGUACACACCGCCCAUCAAGCCAUGGGAGUUGGUAGAGCUUGAAGACAGUGGCCGUAAAAGGAGC